UACAGAGGUCUCAAGCGUUGUUCGGAUUCAUUGGGCGUAAAGAGCUCGUAGGCGGUUUGUCGCGUCUGCUGUGAAAUCCCGAGGCUCAACCUCGGGCUUGCAGUGGGUACGGGCAGACUAGAGUGCGGUAGGGGAGACUGGAAUUCCUGGUGUAGCGGUGGAAUGCGCAGAUAUCAGGAGGAACACCGAUGGCGAAGGCAGGUCUCUGGGCCGCAACUGACGCUGAGGAGCGAAAGCAUGGGGAGCGAACAGG
rnacentral:rRNA from 1 species